UGUUAACCAAACCUGACAGCAGUGAAAAUCCUUUUUGUUUGCAAUAAAAUAAUAUAAACUGUCAAGCUGAGGAACGAAGCAUCUGCAGCCUAUAUAACAGAUACCUGCGUUUCAGCACCACAGCACCACAAAAAGAUUGGAGCGAAUGGCAGGACCAUCG
rnacentral:sRNA from 2 species